rnacentral:lncRNA from 1 species
UUUUUUUAAUUGGUCUUGAAGGUGACUAAAGUUCUAUUCUCGCAUUGAGGCACAAACCUCUGCCCUGGCAGAUAAUUAUAGUUUGUGAAAUUCCCUUUAUAACUUGUUUUUCUUUAAAAAAAUAAAGUAAAAUUAGUAUCUAGUUUUUAAAUAAUAUUAUGAAAGCCGUGAUUUCCAAGAUAAGUUCUAAAAAGACCUACAAUGUUUUCAAGAAAAAAAGAUAUUGCUGCACUACAUCAUUAACCAAAGGGUGUGGUUUGUAUGAGGUUGUAAUAUUAAAUAACCAAAUUAAGACACACCUCUAAAUUUUAUCAUAAAUAUAAUUUUGAUAUAAAAAGUUAUAGGGAUAACUUGAGAACCUAUUUCCAUCUCUAAUUAUAAAAUCUUAAACUCUAAAAAUUUCUUCAAAUCAAGUAGAUUCCUAAAAUGGACGGUCCAGAUAAUGUAUUGCAAGAUAUACUAUUUUUAGGUCUCGAUUUCUUUUUUUUUGUUUAUAUUCAUACAUCUCGAUGUCGAGAUGAUCAAUUAAAAGGUUUUCCAAUAUCAAAAUAACUUUUUAUGAUGGAUUUUUUAGAUGUACUUUAAUUCUAUAUUUUAAAGUUGCAACUUUAUAUAAACUUUUUCCUUAACUAAAACUAUUUGAAAGUUUCAUAGAAUAAAAUUACCUUCAAAUAAUUCUAGGUCACUAGCAUCUAUCUCUCUUGGCUCUUGAAUAAAAUCUCUCUCUCUCUCUCUCUCUUUCUCUCUCUCUCUCUCUCUCCUCCCUGCAUGGUAUUUGGUACACUAUUUUAACCUUAAUCGGUUUAGUUUUUUUACUGGAUUUUAAUUGUUAAUGGGGAUAUGGUAUUGAUAAUGCUAUAUAGCAUUUGAUUAUUUAACGGGUGUGGCUUGAAUAAUGCUAAGGCCCUAACAAUCAAAGUAAGGCACUGUUAAAUAGUGCCAAAAAAAUGUCGUUUUCAAUGCCGAAAAUCCUUAUGAUGGUCUAAAGAUUUAUUUUCAUCUCUAAUUAUAAAAUUUAAGGAUUAAAAUAUAGUGUACGUCAGGUAGAUCUAUGAAUACUUAAAAAUCUUAAGAAUAAAUGGCUUAGAUAAUGCAUUACAAGAUACAUUAUUUCAAAAAAUUCUUCCAGUGGAUAUUUGAGGUGCGCCUUGUUUUUAAUGUUUAACGCCUCAACCUUCUAUAAACUAAUUUCUUAUUUAUAGGUGUGGUUUACAGAAGGUUGCAACCUCAAACAAUCAAAUUAAAGUGCACUUCCAAACUUUGUCAUGAGAUGCAAUUUUGGUGUGAAAAUUUUUAGGAUGGUGCACGAAUCUAUUGUUAUUUCUAAUUAUAAAAUUUUAAACAAAAAAAUAAUCAAACAUAUCUAUAAAUGCAUGACAAUCUGGUAAAGUGUUGCAAGAGGUAUUAUUGUAAUACUUGAAAUCUCUUUUUUUCUCUAUAUCGAUAUAACUUGAUGUUGAGAUGAUCAAUUAGAUGUUUUUCCAACAUCAAAACAACCUUUUUCAAAUGAUUUUAGAGGCGCACCUUAAUUUUACAUUUUAAGGUGUCAACCUUUUAUAAACUUUUCCCUUAUUUAAUUAUAAAAAAUUAAGAGAAAAUUUUGUAUAGAACUAUAACUCCUCAUAUUAUUUCAUGGUAGACCCUCGUUUUGUUUUUCUUUCAAGUGGCAUGAAGAAACCUCUAAAGUUUUCACCAUACCCCAUCAUCUCUUAUCUCUCUCUUUUAUUGAUUUUUUAAUCAUAAAAAUUAGCCUCAAAAAUAUUUUUAUAUCAUUUCAACCCAAUUUUUUUUUUAAUGGGUGGAAAGAGAAAAAGAUGUUUAAAAAUUUGUUUGGGUUGAAAUAGUAUAAAAAGAUUUGUUGGGACUAAUUUUUACGGUUAAAAGUCAAUAAAAGAGAGAGAUAAGAGAUGAGGGGGUUCGAUGAAAUCUUUAAUAGUUUACUUAUGGUUUAUUGUUUUGACUAAACCUCAAAUUCACCAAAAUAUAUAUAUAUAUAUGUCCCAUUGUUUUAAAUCCUUUUUUUUAAGGCAAAACAGAAAUAAUCGUGAUCUUUUUUCUCAAAAUCCUUUUGCCAUUCCCUAAUUUUUGAGCUUUCAUUUGUACUCUAUAUUUUGGAAUAAACCCAAAUUAAUACUCAUUUUUAUUGCCCUUUGAUUUAUUGUUGCCGGGUAGUUGGCUAACCAUGCAACAGGUGGC